rnacentral:lncRNA from 1 species
AUACACUAGAAAUGUAAAUACAAUAUUUAUAUUCUAAUUGAUUUAUAAUUAUAUGGUAAAAAUUAGAAAGUAAGCAAUUUUUCAGUAAUAGUGUGCUGUGAUAUUUUUGUAAUUUUAUGUCUGAUUUUGUAAGCAAGUAGUUUUCAAGUGACGUAAAACUUGAGGGUUUUCAAGACCAGUCAGACUCCUGAAAGGGGUACAGUAGUCUGGAAAGAUUGAGUGCCACUGCUCUAUAAUAGUAGAAAGGACUGUACUAGAAAAUAUUAUCUAGCUAAAUGGAAGCACUUCUCUUCUUGGACACAACAAAGAGGCACUCGCCCAGAGACUACAAAUAUUCCUCUCAUCUUGGACUAUAGCCUAUCUUUGAAGACAUCAGGUUUGUCCAUCAGCUCCUUGCGAGUGUACUUGGCAUCAGUCAGCACAUACCAUCCACCUUCUCAGGGCUACUCAGUCUUUGCACAUACACUGACCAAUAGAUUCUGGAAAGGCCUAAUAAGAACCUUCCCACCUACUCAGAAGCCUACCUCCCCAGUGGAACCUGAAUCUUGUUCUCUCAGUACUCGUAAGGCACUCGUUUUUGAGCCUUUAGCUACUUGCUCCAUGUCCCUCCUUUCCUUGAAGGUCGCUUUCCUUGUAACCAUCACUUCAGCGAGAAGAACUGGCAAUCUUGGAGCAACGAUGGCAGACCCUGCAUACGCUAUAUUCCAUAAGGAUAUAGUGUCUUUACAUCUACACCCCAAAUUCACCCCUAAUGUAGUUGCAGCAUUUCACUUUAACCAAUUCAUUCAUUUACCUGUGUUCUUCCCAACACUGCACACUUCCUCAGAGGAACGAAGACCACUCCCUCAGUGUUUGGUGGGCAUUGGCUUUUUACCUACAAAGAACAAAGCCAAUCGGGAAAUCUCAGACUGUUUAUCACUGUAGCAAAAAUAGUCACAGGGCACCCUUAUUUGUCUUGUCCACAUUCAACUUUAGACUAUAUUCUUUGCCGUGUUCAUAUGUAAUCUUCACUAACUUCAUCAGACCACCUGAA